rnacentral:ncRNA from 1 species
GCGGCGGAAUCCGAAAAGCCGACAGAGUAGGAA